AACUAUAUGUUAUUAUAUAUAGCUAUUCCUGCUCAAUGAUUUUAAAUAGCCGCAGUACCCUGMCUGUGCAAAGGUAGCAUAAUCAGUUGGCUUUUAAUUGGAGUCUGGCAUGAACGGAUUUCUGGAAAGUAACUGUAUCUUAUUUAUUUACGCGAAAUUAAUUUGUAAGUGAAAAUACUUACAUCUUUAGAGAGGACGAGAAGACCCUAGAAAUUUCUUUUAUUUUGUUGGGGCGACAGAAUUACAGUUAAACUAAUUUGAAUUAACGUGGCGUUAUUACAGUUCGAUUAAAUUACUCUAGGGAUAACAGCAUAAUUUAACUAGUUUGUGACCUCGAUGUUGGACUAGGACAUUAAUGGUUUAGAAGACCUUUAAUAGUGCUCUGUUCGAGCAAAUAUUUCCU
rnacentral:rRNA from 1 species